rnacentral:rRNA from 1 species
UACGGGGGGGGCAAGCGUUGUUCGGAAUUACUGGGCGUAAAGCGUGCGCAGGCGGUUAUAUAAGACAGAGGUGAAAUCCCCGGGCUCAACCUGGGAACUGCCUUUGUGACUGUAUAGCUUGAGUGCGGCAGAGGGGGAUGGAAUUCCGCGUGUAGCAGUGAAAUGCGUAGAUAUGCGGAGGAACACCGAUGGCGAAGGCAAUCCCCUGGGCCUGCACUGACGCUCAUGCACGAAAGCGUGGGGAGCAAACAGG